rnacentral:rRNA from 1 species
GACGAACGCUGGCGGCGUGCCUAAUACAUGCAAGUUGAGCGAUGAAGAUUGGUGCUUGCACCAAUUUGAAGAGCAGCGAACGGGUGAGUAACGCGUGGGGAAUCUGCCUUUGAGCGGGGGACAACAUUUGGAAACGAAUGCUAAUACCGCAUAAUAACUUUAAACAUAAGUUUUAAGUUUGAAAGAUGCAAUUGCAUCACUCAAAGAUGAUCCCGCGUUGCAUUAGCUAGUUGGUGAGGUAAAGGCUCACCAAGGCGAUGAUACAUAGCCGACCUGAGAGGGUGAUCGGCCACAUUGGGACUGAGACACGGCCCAAACUCCUACGGGAGGCAGCAGUAGGGAAUCUUCGGCAAUGGACGAAAGUCUGACCGAGCAACGCCGCGUGAGUGAAGAAGGUUUUCGGAUCGUAAAACUCUGUAGGUAGAGAAGAACGUUGGUGAGAGUGGAAAGCUCAUCAAGUGACGGUAACUACCCAGAAAGGGACGGCUAACUACGUG